rnacentral:tRNA from 1 species
GGCAGAAUCGGAUAGCCUGGUCCAUUCCGUCCCGCUCAAGACGGGAACCCUUCGGGGGCGUGCGUUCAAAUCGCACUUCUGCUA